ACCUACUUGAUACUGAAGUCUAAAAAGCUGUGUGCAGAAGGACUACAAGGAAUGGAUGGAUUAAACAAGACACAUUUCCUUUCCUUUUUUGGAGGGGAAAAUGUUCCCCACUUGUUCUCCUAUCUGCUAACUUAUGAGGCAGUAGGGGCAUAGAGGAAAUCACCUGCCAGGGCUCCAACUUCAGACCAACUUAGAAGCUUUACAGAUGAAUGGCUUUCUGUUCCAGGAAUUUCCUCAAGCCCCUUCUUUCACUGCAGUUAUAGGAUGUUCCCAGGAACCAGCCAAGUGGAACCAAUCAAGAGACUCUCCCACCGAGUGAAACCAAUCAAAACCCCCCAAACUUAGUGUUCACAGAAGUAACUAGACCCUUGUAACCGUUUGGUUUUUUUUCCCCCAAAUUGGCCUAAGAAAUUGAACAUAAGCUUCUCCACAACACUAUACUGAUGGUUUUCACUGGAACUUGAGAGGAACCAUCGCACAGUGAAAAUCCAUGCGUCUCAACAGCCUAGUUGGAAAGAAGAAGACAGAGCUAACACCUUCGUAGAAUCAAAACAAAAUAUCACCUGUUUGUAUUGAGAGGCCUGGGUCUAGAUCAGGAGUUAAGUAAUGGUGCAAAGCGAUCCUCUUUACCACGAGAGAUGGAAGCCCUGAGAUAUUACAUAUACUCAAAGAAAUAACAAAUCCUAGAUUUAAUGGAUUUAAAUCAUGCUGCUGCUAGAAAGCCAUCUCAUUCUGGUAGAUAAAUUAUGUGGUAAAGUAGUGUUGAUUUUGGGCAGAACAAU